rnacentral:rRNA from 1 species
AUACGUAGGGGGCGAGCGUUGUCCGGAAUGAUUGGGCGUAAAGGGCGCGUAGGCGGCGCGGUAAGUCUGGAGUGAAAGUCCUGCUUUCAAGGUGGGAAUUGCUUUGGAUACUGCCGCGCUUGAGUGCAGGAGGGGUUAUCGGAAUUCCCGGUGUAGCGGUGAAAUGCGUAGAGAUCGGGAGGAACACCAGUGGCGAAGGCGGGUAACUGGACUGCAACUGACGCUGAGGCGCGAAAGUGUGGGGAGCAAACAGGAUUAGAUACCCUGGUAGUCCACACUGUAAACGAUGAAUGCUAGGUGUAAGAGGUAUCGACCCCUUUUGUGCCGGAGUCAACACAAUAAGCAUUCCGCCUGGGGAGUACGGCCGCAAGGUUGAAACUCAAAUGAAUUGGCGGGG